GCGUCUGUAGCUCAGUUGGAGAGAGCACUGGUUUCCUAAACCAGGGGGCGGAGGUUCAAAUCCUCCCAGACGUG
rnacentral:tRNA from 1 species